UUAAUUUUAACUGAUAGUGCAUAAUUAAGUAUUGCUUAACAAUUUCAGCAAACUACUCUUUUUUUUAUUUAAGUCUUGUAUAUUAUUUAUACAUAUUGAAUGUAUUUUUAAAUUAAAUGAAAAAAAAAAAAUUGACCUCUGGACUUGUCUUCAUGGUGAAAAUGACUACCGUAUGCAAAAAUAUGCUAUUUUUUUGGAAAAAUUCUUGAUAUUAUAUUUUACAUUUUUUAACAUUAUGUUGCUAUAACUUUUUAAAAAAUGCAUGAAUCAACUCUAUUCUUUGACAAUAAAUACUUUAUAUAUACCUCUUUCAUACGACAUACUUUUUUUUUUAAAUCGGACCUUUUCCCUUUAUACAGGGGGGGUGCAAACCUUUUAAAAUGCGUAUAGAAAGUAGAACUUUUUCAACUUAACUUUUGAAAAUGUUCCGGAAAGACUGACACUUUUAUAUAUAUCUUAAAUUAAAGCUUAUGUAAUAUACUUUAAUUUGAAAAAAAAAAAUUUGACCUCUGGACUUGUCUUCGUGGUGAAAGUUGACAUCAAAGUUAAUAAAAAAUUACGAUUUUUGUAAAAUAAUUUUUUUUUAUAUUUUUAACUUAAUAAUGCUCUAACUUUUUCAAAAAUGAACAUAUCAAUAUAAUUUUUUUUUAUAUAGAUGCUUGAUGUCUUUACUUAUCAUUUGGUAUAUUUUUUUUGUAAAUCUGACACUUAACCUGCCCACAGGGGGGGAUUUAAAAUGACAACUUUUUCACAAAAAAUUAACUUUUUCAACAUAACUUUUGAAAAUGUUCCGGAAGGUCUGACACUUUUAUAUAUAUCUUAAAUUAAAGUUAAUGUAAAAUACUUUAAUUUGAAAAAAAAAAAAUUAACCUCUAGACUUGUCUUCACGGCGAAAAUGGCUACCGAAUGCUUUUUUCGUGUGAAAAUUCUCGAUUUUAUGAUUUAUAUUAUAUUUAACUUUAUAAUGCUAUAACUUAUUGAAAAGUUUAUGGAUCCACACAAUUUUUUUAUGAGAAAUAAUAUUUUUUAAUAAACCCUUUUUCAUUCGACAUAUUUUAUCUUAAUCGAGAUAUUAAUAAGGAACCAGCAGAUCAAGUAGCUUUUGGAAUAAAACACCAAUUUUUUUAAAAUUAAACACUAUCUAAAGAUUUGCAUCGAAGCGUUUAUUUUUGAUAGUGAUUUUAAUCACUGUCAGAUAUCAUUAUACUUGAUCCAACUAUACCACGUCACAACUGUGCCGCGACCCCCCUGUGCUGGGUUUUUUUAUAUACCCCUUUCAUCUGACACCCUUUUUUUUUGUAAAUCGGAUUAUACCCCUUUAACAUGGGGGGUCAAAACUUUAAACAUGGGUAUUGAAACUAGGUCAUUUUCAAUUAAAUUUUUUAAAGUGUUCCAGAAAUACUGACACUUUUAUAUAUAUCUUAAAUUAAAGCUUAUGUUUUUUUUUUUUUUUUCAAUCCGAAGAUUGGUUUUUAACAAAUGUGUUUACAAUAAAUGGCUUCUCCAUUUUUCUCUAUUAUUCGCCAUAAUUUUAAGCUCCCUGUAGGAAGUGACCCCUGCAUCCUGCAUUAUUUGGCUAAUGUACCUCGUUCUAGGUCUUCCUCUUGAUCUUGUACCCUCUAUCAUUCCUUCAAUUAUUAAACUAUGCAAUUCAUCUCCAUGCCUCAACGUGUGUCCUAUCAUCUGCCAUCUCCUUCUCUUUAUAAUGUCAAUCAGUGUUCGUUUUUCAUCUAUUGUCCUCAGGAUGUCUUCAUUUGAUCUUUUAUCAAUCCAGCUUAUUCUCUGCAUCUUUCUCCAACACCACAUCUCCAGAGCUUCUAACAUAUCUUUUUCUUUCUUAUUAAUUGUCCAGGUUUCACUUCCGUAUAAUGCCACACUCCAGACGUAUGUUUUUAUGAGCCGUUUCUUCGUUACUAUGUUCAUAUUUUUUGAUGUUAGUAUUUUUCUCUUUUUAAGGAAUGUAUUCUUUGCUUGACCUAUCCUGCUCCUGAUUUCCUUGGUUGAUUUCCCGUCGUCUGUUAUAAUGCUGCCUAAGUAUUUGAAAUAGUCUACUAGGAUAAUUUCUUUGUUUUCUAAUGUUAUAUUUAUAUAUGGUAUGUCUUUCUUGUAGCAUACUAGGGCUUUGAUCUUGGCUGCGUUUAUUUUCAGACUAUAUUCUUUGAACGUAGUAUUUAUUGCAUUUAACGCUACUUGUAUGUCUUCCUCAGAUGUUGUAAGAACGACUAUAUCAUCAGCGAAGCGAAGCUUCCCCUCCUAUUUUCACUACAAUUCCUUUUUGUUUUAACCAAAGCUUUAUGACGUUUAUUGCUUUUUCAAUAAAUACAUUAAACAAUGCAGGUGAAAGUGGGCACCCUUGUCUCACACCUUUUUGGAUUCUGGCAGUCACUGUUGUUGUAUUAAUGUUAAUAAUGGAUUCUUGUUCUUCAUAAAUCUUAUAAAGAAUACGUCUGUCUUUAAAAUCUAUCUCUGUUUCUUCCAAAAUUUUAAAGAGACUUGUCCAAUUUAUGCUAUCGAAUGCUUUUUCUAGGUCUACAAAGGCCAUAUAAGUGAUUUUUUGUCUCUCAAUUUGCUUUUCAAGUAUUACUCUCAGACCUAAAAUAGCCUCCCUGGUUCCUUUGUUCUUCCGGAAACCAUAUUGAUCGUUUGCUAAUCUGGCUUCUAUCCUCUUCCUUAUUCUUUUGCUUACAAUUAUUGCCAGUAAUUUAGCCGCAUGCGAUAUCAAGCUUAAGGUCCUAAAAUUUUCGCACUGGUUUGCUCUAGGUUUUUUUGCNAAUAAAGCUUAUGUAAUAUACGUUAAUUUGAAAAAAAAAAAUUGACCUCUGGAUUUGUCUUCAUGGUAAAAAUAACUACCGUAUUCAAAAAUAUGCUAUUUUUGUGUUAAAAUUCAGGGUUUUGUAUUUUAUUUUAUUUUAAAAUACCUUACAAGAGGAGUAUAGAUUUUCAUAAAUAUUAUAUAAAUAAAAACCCAGCACAGGGGGAUCGCGGCACAGUGGUGACGUGGCAUAGUUGGAUCAAGUAUUAUGAUAUCUGACAGUGAUUAAAAUCACUAUAAAAAAAAACGCUUCGAUGCAAAUCUUUAGAUAGUGUUUAAUUUUAAAAAAUUCGUGGAAUAUACCAAAAACAACUUGAUCUGCUAGUUCGUUAUUAAUAUCCUGAUUCAGAUAAAGUAUGUCGAAUGAAAAAGGGAUUAUUAAAAAAUUUUAUUUCUCAUAAAAAAAUUGUGUUGAUCCAUACACUUUUCAAUAUGUCAUAGCAUUAUAAAUUUAAAAAUGUAAAAAAUAAAAUCGACAAUUUUCACAAAUUAAUAGCAUUCGGUAGCCAUUUUCACCGUGAAGAUAAAAUAAAGUCCGACAUUUUUUGCAUAAUAAAGUAAAUUACAUUAGCUUUAAUUUAAGAUAUAUAUAAAAGUGUCAGACUUUCCGUAACACUUUCAAAAAUUAAGUUGAAAAAGUAAAUUUUUUGUGAAAAAGUUGUCAUUUUAAAACCCCCCCUGUGGGCAGGUAAAGGGUCAGAUAUAAAAAAAAUAUAUACCAAAUGAUAGGUAAAGACAUCAUGCAUCUAUAUAAAAAAAAAUUAUAUUGAUCCAUACAUCUUUCAAAAAGUUAUAGCAUUCUAAAGUUAAAAAUAUAAAAAAGAAUUUUUUUACAAAAAUCGUAUUUUUUUUAAAAACUUUGAUGUCUGUUUUCACCAUGAAGAUAAAAUAAAGUCCGAAUUUUUUUUUUGCAUAAUAAAGUAAAUUACAUUAGCUUUAAUUUAAGAUAUAUAUAAAAGUGUCAGACUUACCAGAACACUUACAAAAUUAAGUUGAAAAAGUAAAUUUUUUGUGAAAAAGUUGUCAUUUUAAAUCGCCCCUUGUGGGCAAGUUAAGGGUUAAAUGUAUGAAAAAAAUAUACCAAAUGAUAGGUAAAGACAUCAUGCAUCUAUAAAAAAAAAAUUAUAUUGAUAUGUUUUUUCAUUGAUAUGUAUUGAUAUGUAUUCAUUGAUAUGUAUUUUUGAAAAAGUUAUGGCAGUUUUAAGUAAAAAAAAAUUCAAAAAUUAGCGAUUUUUAAAUUUGUAAUUUUUUUGGAGGUUUCCCCCAUUUAUGGGGAACGAGGGAAAUUUUUUUCAAUUUUUGAGGGUAAUGUAAUACCUUCUCAGCUUCGCAUCGAAGCUAAAAAUUAAUAUAGCAUAGAAAGUUAAACUUAUUUAAAUUUGUUUGCAUCUUUUAAGUGGAGAAAAAUAACUUUGAAAUUUAAACUAGCUUAAAUAGCCAAUUUUUUCAAGCAAGGGGAACGAUGUAUGGUUGUCGAGUUGGUAGAAGUCAUGUUUUACACGUUUGGGAUACGAGGUUUCAACCCUCGUAUGGCAAUGAAUUUUUUGCAUUUUUUCUUAAUUCUUUUUAAGUUAAUAUAAAUUUUUAACUCCUUUGAUUUUUAUCUCAUUUAGAUUCAAUAACUUUAAUAAAGAUAAAGGAUCCCAUCACUGUAGUCGCCACUCGCGAGAAGAAGUUUUUUAUUAAUACUAAAAUUAUUUUACUAUAUUUUAAGUUUUAGCUUCGAUGUAAAGUUGAGAAGAUAUUUUUUUGUGACUAUCAUUUAUUUUCUCUGCUCUAACUUGACCUACUUUUUUCAUCGAUACGUCAAAUGACUACAAAAGUAUUUAGUUGAAGAUAUUACCCUCAAAAAUUGAAAAAAAAAUUCUAAUUUAUCAAUUAAACAGUUACUUAUCCCAUAUUCUCCAUACAGACAAUUAAAAUCAUUCAUUUCUAAUGUUUUCAAAAUAUUUAUUAACGAAUGAAGUUUGAAAUGAUAGGUUUCAACUACAAAAUGAAAUCAUUUUACUUUGUAAUUUAAUAAUUUUAUUAACUCUAUUUGUGUGUGCUACUACUAGACUAUAAUAUUACAAAUUUUUUUGUAACAUGUUGCUAUA